AGUGAACGCUGGCGGUAGGCCUAACACAUGCAGGUCGAACGGCAGCACAGUAAGAGCUUGCUCUUACGGGUGGCGAGUGGCGGACGGGUGAGGAAUACAUCGGAAUCUACUUUUUCGUGGGGUAUCACGUAGGGAAACUUACGCUAAUACCGCAUACGCCCUACGGGUGAAAGCAGGGGAUCUUCGGACCUUUCGCGAUUGAAUGAGCCGAUGUCGGAUUAGCUAGUUGGCGGGGUAAAGGCCCACCAAGGCGACGAUCCGUAGCUGGUCUGAGAGGAUGAUCAGCCACACUGGAACUGAGACACGGUCCAGACUCCUACGGGAGGCAGCAGUGGGGAAUAUUGGACAAUGGGCGCAAGCCUGAUCCAGCCAUACCGCGUGGGUGAAGAAGGCCUUCGGGUUGUAAAGCACUUUUGUUGGGAAAGAAAAGCAGCAGGUUAAUACCCCGCUGUUCUGACGGUACCCAAAGAAUAAGCACCGGCUAACUUCGUG
rnacentral:rRNA from 1 species